rnacentral:lncRNA from 13 species
UGGUGUUCCAAAAAAGGUCCAGUCGCCAGGACCACAAAUACAAAAUUCCAUCUAGACACUGUUGCCCUAGAGCACACAAAAAACUAUACAUACCUCGGCCUAAACAUCAGCGCCACAGGUAACUUCCACAAAGCUGUGAACGAUCUGAGAGACAAGGCAAGAAGGGCCUUCUAUGCCAUCAAAAGGAAUAUACAUUUCAACAUACCAAUUAGGAUUUGGCUAAAAAUACUUGAAUCAGUCAUAGAGCCCAUUGCCCUUUAUUGUUGUGAGGUCUGGGGUCCGCUCACCAACCAAGACUUCACAAAAUGGGACAAACACCAAAUUGAGACUCUGCAUGCAGAAUUCUGCAAAAAUAUCCUCUGUGUACAACGCAGAACACCAAAUAAUGCAUGCAGAGCAGAAUUAGGCCGAUACCUACAAAUUAUCAAAAUCCAGAAAAGAGCUGUUAAAUUCUACAACCACCUAAAAGGAAGCGAUUCCCAAACUUUCCAUAACAAAGCCAUCACCUACAGAGAGAUUAACCUGGAGAAGAGUCCCCUAAGCAAGCUGGUCCUGGGGCUCUGUUCACAAACACAAACACACCCCACAGAGCCCCAGGACAGCAGCACAAUUAGACCCAACCAAAUAAUGAGAAAACAAAAAGAUAAUUACUUGACACAUUGGAAAGAAUUAACAAAAAAACAGAGCAAACUAGAAUGCUAUUUGGCCCUAAACAGAGAGUACACAGUGGCAGAAUACCUGACCACUGUGACUGACCCAAACUUAUGGAAAGCGUUGACUAUGUACAGACUCAGUGAGCAUAGCCUUGCUAUUGAGAAAGGCCGCCGUAGGCAGACAUGGCUCUCAAGAGAAGACAGGCUAUGUGCUCACUGCCCACAAAAUGAGGUGGAAACUGAGCUGCACUUCCUAACCUCCUGCCCAAUGUAUGACCAUAUUAGAGAGACAUAUUUCCCUCAGAUUACACAGAUCCAAAAGGAAUUCGAAAACAAAUCCAAUUUUGAUAAACUCCCAUAUCUACUGGGGGAAAUUCCACAGUGUGCCAUCACAGCAGCAAGAUUUGUGACCUGUUGCCACAAGAAAAGGGCAACCAGUGAAGAACAAACACCAUUGUAA